GCCAGCAGCUAUAUUACCCUGCAACUCACAGCUGGCAGCCUGGUCAGUACCUGGAUGGGAGACCUCCUGGGAAAAACUGAGGUUGCUGCUGGAA
rfam:Lepisosteus oculatus linkage group LG11, whole genome shotgun sequence.